CCUUUAAGUAUUGAAAGGGCACAGUAAGACAUCCCCUAAGCCUUCUCUUCUCCAGGCUGAACAACCCCAACUCUCUCAGCCUUUCUUCAUAGGUGAGGUGUUUCAGCCCUCUGAUCAUACUCAUGGCCCUCCUUUGGAGCCCCUUUUCAUCUUUGCUUCUA